UACGUAGGGUGCGAGCGUUGUCCGGAAUUACUGGGCGUAAAGAGCUCGUAGGUGGUUUGUCGCGUUGUUCGUGAAAACUCACAGCUCAACUGUGGGCGUGCGGGCGAUACGGGCAGACUGGAGUACUGCAGGGGGAGACUGGAAUUCCUGGUGUAGCGGUGGAAUGCGCAGAUAUCUGGAGGAACACCGGUGGCGAAGGCGACAUCCUGGACCGGUAUUGACGCUGAGGCGCGAAAGCUAGGGGGAGCAAACGGG
rnacentral:rRNA from 1 species